rnacentral:lncRNA from 1 species
AUGCAGAGCAUCUGGAAGUGAACCCAACAGGACAGGGCUCCUAUCCCCUGGCUCUUCCUAUUGCCCCCUCCCAGUAUCUUCCCUGUCACUUUCCAGAAGCCUCCGUGCUACCUUCCAGAAACUUCUUUGCUACCUUCCAGAAGCUUUCCUGCCUCCCAAUACGCUCACCAGCGCCUCUCUCUUUCCGGAGCAUUCCCAGCACUUGUUCUUUGGUUGAAUUUUGUUUGGCUAAUUGAGGUAAUGCUAGUGUGAGACCUAAGUGACUCCAUUCUAAAAUUUGGUGGCAUAAAUUUCACUUCUAUGUAUUUUGACCACCUGCAUGUGAUAGUGUUCAGCCGUCCCCUAGCAACAGCUAUUCAGUAGUUAGCAACCGUUUGCAGCUUGGGUGCGCAAGGCACAAUCAAUCAGGUUUAAUUGCCAAUCUAGAACCUUGCUGUAACCACUAUAAAAACCCCUGCUGAGUCGGAGUCGGGGCUCUCAAUCUUGACCCGCUGCGGCGGUGAUGGUUGGGAGUCCCUGCUCGAGCUUGAGUAAACGACCCUCAUGUGUUUACAUCAGAAUCGGCUCCUUGGUGGUCUUUGGGGACCUCGAAAUCUGGGCACAACACUAGAGGAUUUUCCAUGCUACACGCACUGCUUGGUCUGGGCAGCUCUUACUCCUUCAGUGAGAAGACUUUGGGACUGGUCCCAGGCCCAACCCUCCUCACACAUUCCUGUGACUUUCCGUGAUUCAUCUAGGCAGCUCCUCAUGCUGCUGGGAGAAGACAAGAGGCUGUUGUGGUCUGGCCUUGGCCCUGGCCCUCAGCUCUGUGAGGCUCGAGCUUGCUGGAGGGUCAGUGAUGGAACAGGUCUGGGGGCUCAGUGCACAGUCCCUCUGUCAUCCUGGUUCACAGCCCGAAGGUCCCCAGUCUUCUUGGACCCUCUCAGGUCUCUGACAUCCGCUGUCCUCACUGCCUCCGACCUUCACAUGAGGCCCUGUCUCCCUGGGCGUGCGUCCCUGCAAGG